CUUUAUCUGGCGAGUGACGGUUCCCCGAGUUCAAUGCGAAGGGAUGAAAUGGGAACACGGUGCGGAGACCCGAAGGGGAUCCAAGACCGUGGCUGCCCCCGCAACUGUAAGCGGAUUGCCGUCCAUCCUCGUGGCGCCGAAAGGUGCCAUGCCACUGCGCAGCCCGGCGCGGGAAGGCAGAUGGACGACAGAUAUCCGCAAGCCAGGAGACCUGCCGUCGAAUAUCGAUCCAU
rnacentral:ncRNA from 2 species